AAAAUUAGAGUGUUCAAAGCAGGCAGAUCCAAUUUUCCUGCCACCGAAUACAUUAGCAUGGGAUAAUGGAAUAGGACCCUGUCCUCCUAUUUUCAGUUGGUUUGCCGCGAGGACCAGGGUAAUGAUUAAUAGGGAUAGUUGGGGGCAUUAAUAUUUAAUUGUCAGAGGUGAAAUUCUUGGAUUUAUGAAAGAUUAACUUCUGCGAAAGCAUCUGCCAAGGAUGUUUUCAUUAAUCAAGAACGAAAGUUAGGGGAUCGAAGACGAUCAGAUACCGUCGUAGUCUUAACCAUAAACGAUGCCGACCAGCGAUUAGGAGACGUUGAAUACAAAACACCACCAUGCGCAUUGCGGUCGUCUUUGGUGUGUCGCUCACAAGGCGGCAUCAUCGGGACGGCUUAGCUCGCAUGGCACCGGUGAA
rnacentral:rRNA from 1 species